rnacentral:rRNA from 1 species
UACAGAGGGUGCAAGCGUUAAUCGGAUUUACUGGGCGUAAAGCGUGCGUAGGCGGUUCAUUAAGUCGGUUGUGAAAUCCCUGGGCUUAACCUGGGAACUGCAGUCGAUACUGGUGGACUAGAGUACGGUAGAGGGUGGCGGAAUUCCGCGUGUAGCAGUGAAAUGCGUAGAUAUGCGGAGGAACACCGAUGGCGAAGGCGGCAUCCUGGACCGACAUUGACGCUGAGGCGCGAAAGCCAGGGGAGCAAACGGG